AAACGUAGGUCACAAGCGUUGUCCGGAAUUACUGGGUGUAAAGGGAGCGCAGGCGGGAAGACAAGUUGGAAGUGAAAUCUAUGGGCUCAACCCAUAAACUGCUUUCAAAACUGUUUUUCUUGAGUAGUGCAGAGGUAGGCGGAAUUCCCGGUGUAGCGGUGGAAUGCGUAGAUAUCGGGAGGAACACCAGUGGCGAAGGCGGCCUACUGGGCACCAACUGACGCUGAGGCUCGAAAGUGUGGGUAGCAAACAGGAUUAGAUACCCUGGUAGUCCACACCGUAAACGAUGAUUACUAGGUGUUGGAGGAUUGACCCCUUCAGUGCCGCAGUUAACACAAUAAGUAAUCCACCUGGGGAGUACGACCGCAAGGUUGAAACUCAAAGGAAUUGACGGGGGCCCGCACAAGCAGUGGAGUAUGUGGUUUAAUUCGACGUAACGCGAAGAACCUUACCAAGUCUUGACAUCCCUUGACAGGCAUAGAAAUAUGUUUUCUCUUCGGAGCAAGGAGACAGGUGGUGCAUGGUUGUCGUCAGCUCGUGUCGUGAGAUGUUGGGUUAAGUCCCGCAACGAGCGCAACCCUUAUGGUCAGUUACUACGCAAGAGGACUCUGGCCAGACUGCCGUUGACAAAACGGAGGAAGGUGGGGAUGACGUCAAAUCAUCAUGCCCUUUAUGACUUGGGCUACACACGUACUACAAUGGCGUUAAACAAAGAGAAGCAAGACCGCGAGGUGGAGCAAAACUCAGAAACAACGUCCCAGUUCGGACUGCAGGCUGCAACUCGCCUGCACGAAGUCGGAAUUGCUAGUAAUCGUGGAUCAGCAUGCCACGGUGGAUACGUUCCCGGGCCUUGUACACACCGCCCGUCACACCAUGAGAGCCGGGGGGACCCGAAGUCGGUAGUCUAACCGCAAGGAGGACGCCGCCGAAGGUAAAACUGGUGAUUGGGGUG
rnacentral:rRNA from 1 species